CCCUGGCUGGCUCAGUCGGUUAAGUGUCUGACUUUGGCUCAGGUCAUGGUCUCAUGGUUCGUGGGUUCGAGCCCCGUGUCGGGCU
rnacentral:tRNA from 1 species